rnacentral:rRNA from 1 species
AUUGCUCUGAUUUGCUUAUUGCACCACAUGUGUUUUUUAUUGAACAAAUUUCUUUGGUGGCGGGAGCAAUCCUACCGCCAGAGGUUAUAACUAAACCAAACUUUUUAUUUACAGUCAAACUUGAUUUAUUAUUACAAUAGUCAAAACUUUCAACAACGGAUCUCUUGGUUCUCGCAUCGAUGAAGAACGCAGCGAAAUGCGAUACGUAAUAUGAAUUGCAGAUAUUCGUGAAUCAUCGAAUCUUUGAACGCACAUUGCGCCCUUUGGUAUUCCAAAGGGCAUGCCUGUUUGAGCGUCAUUUCUCCCUCAAACCCCCGGGUUUGGUGUUGAGCAAUACGCUAGGUUUGUUUGAAAGAAUUUAACGUGAAAACUUAUUUUAAGCGACUUAGGUUUAUCCAAAAACGCUUAUUUUGCUAGGGGCCACCACAAUUUAUUUCAUAACUUUGACCUCAAAUCAGGUAGGACUACCCGCUGAACUUAACCAUAUCAAAACCGGAGGAA